AAUAGAUACCCCGGUAGUCCACGCCCUAAACGAUGCUCACUAGGUGUUGGGGAAGCGAUUCCUUGGUACCGUAGCUAACGCGUGAAGUGAGCCGCCUGGGGAGUACGGCCGCAAGGUUAAAACUCAAAGGAAUUGACGGGGACCCGCACAAGCGGUGGAUGAUGUGGAUUAAUUCGAUGCAACGCGAACAACCUUACCUACCCUUGACAUGUCCGGAAGCCUGCUGAAAGGUGGGUGUGCUCGAAAGAGAACCGGAACACAGGUGCUGCAUGGCUGUCGUCAGCUCGUGUCGUGAGAUGUUGGGUUAAGUCCCGCAACGAGCGCAACCCUUGUCCCUAGUUGCUACGCAAGGGCACUCUAGGGAGACUGCCGGUGACAAACCGGAGGAAGGUGGGGAUGACGUCAAGUCCUCAUGGCCCUUAUGGGUAGGGCUUCACACGUCAUACAAUGGACGGUACAGAGGGUUGCCAAACCCGGCGAGGGGGGGUAGCCCGAAAUCCCCGAGAAAGCCGUUCGUAGUCCGGAUCGCAGUCUGCAACUCGACUGCGUG
rnacentral:rRNA from 1 species